UGGGGAAUAUUGGACAAUGGGCGAAAGCCUGAUCCAGCCAUGCCGCGUGUGUGAAGAAGGUCUUCGGAUUGUAAAGCACUUUAAGUUGGGAGGAAGGGCAGUAAGCGAAUACCUUGCUGUUUUGACGUUACCGACAGAAUAAGCACCGGCUAACUCUGUGCCAGCAGCCGCGGUAAUACAGAGGGUGCAAGCGUUAAUCGGAAUUACUGGGCGUAAAGCGCGCGUAGGUGGUUCGUUAAGUUGAAUGUGAAAGCCCCGGGCUCAACCUGGGAGCUGCAUCCAAAACUGGCGAGUUAGAGUAGGGCAGAGGGUGGUUGAAUUUCCUGUGUAGCGGUGAAAUGCGUAGAUAUAGGAAAGAACACCAGUGGCGAAGGCGACCACCUGGGCUCAUACUGACACUGAGGUGCGAAAGCGUGGGGAGCAAACAGG
rnacentral:rRNA from 1 species